rnacentral:rRNA from 1 species
AAGUGUUCCACCUGGGAAGUACGAUCGCAAGGGUGAAACUCAAAGGAAUUGACGGGGGCCCGCACAAGCGGAGGAGCAUGUGGUUUAAUUCGAUGAUACGCGAGGAACCUUACCUGGGCUUAAAUGUAUAUUGACGUACUGAGAAAUCAGUAUUUCUUCGGACAAUUUACAAGGUGCUGCAUGGUUGUCGUCAGCUCGUGCCGUGAGGUGUCGGGUUAAGUCCCAUAACGAGCGCAACCCCUACUUCUAGUUACCAGCAUUUCGGAUGGGGACUCUAGAGGAACUGCCUACGCAACCUAGAGAGGAAGGUGGGGAUGACGUCAAAUCAGCACGGCCCUUAUGUCCAGGGCUACACACGUGCUACAAUGGCCGGUACAGAGGGCAGCUACAUAGCAAUAUGAUGCUAAUCUCAAAAGCCGGUCUCAGUCCGGAUUGGAGUCUGCAACUCGACUCCAUGAAGCUGGAUUCGCUAGUAAUCGCACAUCAGUAAUGGUGCGCUGAAUACGUUCCCGGGCGUGUACACACCGCCCGUCAAGCCAUGAA